GGUUCGAUCAUGGCUCAGAUUGAACGCCGGCGGAUGUUGCCACAUGCAAGUCGAACGGCAGCACGGACUUCGGUCUGGUGGCGAGUGGCGAACGGUGAGAAGGCAUCGGAACGUGCCUAGUAGCGGGGAUAACUAGCGCGAAAGCAGAAGCAUACCGUAUACUACCCUUCGGGGGAAAGCGGGACCCCUGGCCCAAUUAUUAGAGCGGCCGAUAUCGGAUUAGCUAGUUGGUGGGGCAACGGCUCGGCCAAGGCGACGAUCCGUAGCUGGUUUGAGAGGACGACCAGCCACACUGGGACUGGAGAUGGCCCAGACUCCUACGGAGGCGCAGGGGGAAUUUUGGAUAAUGGGGGAAACUCCUGAUCCAGCCAUCCCGCGUGUGCGAUGAAGGCCUCGGCUGUAAAGCACUUUUGGCAGGAAAGAAACGGCACGGGAUAAUACCCUGCGCAACUGACGGUACCUGCAGAAUAAGCACCGCUAACUAUGUGCCAGCAGCCGCGGUAAUACGUAGGUGCAAGCGUUAAUCGGAAUUACUGCUUAAAGCGUGCGCAGGCGGUUCGGAAAAGAAAGAUGUGAAAUCCCCAGAGCUUAACUUGAACCGCAUUUUUAACUACCGAGCUAGAGGUGUCAGAGGGAGGUGGGAAUUCCGGGCGCGGCAGUGAAAUGCGCAGAUAUGCGGAGGAACACCGAUGGCGGAGGCAGCCUCCGGGAUAACACUGACGCUCAUGCACGAAAGCGUGGGGAGCAAACAGGAUUAGAUACUCUGUAGUCCACGUCUUCUAAACGAUGUCAACUAGCCGUUGGGGCUCGCCUUGGCAGCGCAGCGACCAGGAAGUUGACCGCCUGGGGAGUACGGUCGCAAGAUUAAAACCGGGUGAAUUGACGGGGACCCGCACAAGCGGUGGACGAUGUGAUUAAUUCGAUGCAACGCGAAAAACCUUACCUACCUCUGACAUGUCUGGAAUCCUGGAAGAGAUUUGGGAGGCCCGCAAGAGAACCGACCACAGGUGUUGCAUGGCUGUCGUCAGCUCGUGUCGAGAUGUUGGGUUAAGUCCUGCAACGAGCGCAACCCUUGUCAUUAGUUGCUGCUGAAAGUGCACUGCACGAGACUGCCGGUGACAAACCGGAGAAGGUGGGGAUGACGUCAAGUCCUCCCUCAUGGCCCUUAUGGGUAGGGCUUCACACGUCAUACAAUGGUCGGGACAGAGGGUCGCUAACCCGCGAGUGGGAGCCAAUCCAGAAACCCGAUCGUAGUCCGGAUCGCAGUCUGCAACUCGACUGCGUGAAGUCGGAAUCGCUAGUAAUCGCGGAUCAGCAUGUCGCGGUGAAUACGUUCCUGGUCUUGUACACACCGCCCGUCACACCAUGGGAGUGGGUUUUACCAGAAGUGAAGUUAGCCUAACCGUAAGGAGGGCGAUUACCACGGUAGGAUCUGGCGACUGGGGUGAAGUCGUAACAAGGUA
rnacentral:rRNA from 1 species